rnacentral:tRNA from 1 species
GCGUGGGUGGCGGAACUGGUAUACGCGCACGUUUGAGGGGCGUGUGCCGCAAGGCUUGAGGGUUCAACUCCCUCCCCACGCA